CAUAAACCCUCAGAGAGUCACC
rnacentral:miRNA from 8 species